rnacentral:rRNA from 1 species
UGGGGAAUAUUGGACAAUGGGGGAAACCCUGAUCCAGCAAUGCCGCGUGAGUGAAGAAGGCCUUCGGGUUGUAAAGCUCUUUUAUCAGGGACGAUGAUGACGGUACCUGAGGAAUAAGCUCCGGCUAACUUCGUGCCAGCAGCCGCGGUAAUACGAAGGGAGCUAGCGUUGUUCGGAAUUACUGGGCGUAAAGGGCGCGUAGGCGGUUAGAUAAGUUUGGUGUGAAAUCCCUGGGCUCAACCUAGGAAUUGCAUUGGAUACUGUCUGACUUGAGAUCGAGAGAGGGAGAUGGAAUUGCGAGUGUAGAGGUGAAAUUCGUAGAUAUUCGCAAGAACACCGGUGGCGAAGGCGAUCUCCUGGCUCGAUACUGACGCUAAGGCGCGAAAGCGUGGGGAGCAAACAGG